CCUACGGGUGGCUGCAGUGGGGAAUAUUGGACAAUGGGCGAAAGCCUGAUCCAGCCAUGCCGCGUGUGUGAAGAAGGCCUUCGGGUUGUAAAGCACUUUCAGUGGGGAAGAAAGCCUUGGGGCUAAUACCCUCGAGGAAGGACAUCACCCACAGAAGAAGCACCGGCUAACUCCGUGCCAGCAGCCGCGGUAAUACGGAGGGUGCGAGCGUUAAUCGGAAUUACUGGGCGUAAAGCGCGCGUAGGCGGUCUGAUAAGCCGGUUGUGAAAGCCCCGGGCUCAACCUGGGAACGGCAUCCGGAACUGUCAGGCUAGAGUGCAGGAGAGGAAGGUAGAAUUCCCGGUGUAGCGGUGAAAUGCGUAGAGAUCGGGAGGAAUACCAGUGGCGAAGGCGGCCUUCUGGACUGACACUGACGCUGAGGUGCGAAAGCGUGGGUAGCAAACAGGAUUAGCUACCCUAGUAGUC
rnacentral:rRNA from 1 species